CACGUAGGGCGCAAGCGUUGUCCGGAUUCAUUGGGCGUAAAGAGCGUGUAGGCGGCCAGGUAGGUCGGUUGUGAAAACUGGAGGCUCAACCUUCAGAGGUCGACCGAAACCAUCUGGCUAGAGUCCGGGAGAGGAGAGUGGAAUUCCUGGUGUAGCGGUGAAAUGCGCAGAUAUCAGGAAGAACACCCGUGGCGAAAGCGGCUCUCUGGAACGGUACUGACGCUGAGACGCGAAAGCGUGGGGAGCGAACAGG
rnacentral:rRNA from 1 species